UACGAAGGGGGCUAGCGUUGCUCGGAAUCACUGGGCGUAAAGCGCACGUAGGCGGCUUCUUAAGUCAGGGGUGAAAUCCUGGAGCUCAACUCCAGAACUGCCUUUGAUACUGGGAGGCUCGAGUCCGGAAGAGGUGAGUGGAACUGCGAGUGUAGAGGUGAAAUUCGUAGAUAUUCGCAAGAACACCAGUGGCGAAGGCGGCUCACUGGUCCGGUACUGACGCUGAAAUACGAAAGCGUGGGGAGCAAACAGG
rnacentral:rRNA from 1 species